UGGGGAAUUUUCUGCAAUGGACGAAAGUCUGACAGAGCAAUACCGCGUGAGGGAAGAAGGUUCAAGGAUUGUAAACCUCUUUUUUCAAGGAAGAAUUUCUGACGUUACUUGAAGAAUAAGCAUCGGCUAACUCUGUGCCAGCAGCCGCGGUAAUACAGGGGAUGCAAGUGUUAUCCGGAAUUAUUGGGCGUAAAGCGUCUGUAGGUUGAUUUUUAAGUCUUUUGUUAAAUAUAUAAGCUUAACUUAUAAAAUGCAAAAGAAACUAUUUAUCUUGAGUUUGAUAGAGGUAAAGGGAAUUUCCAGAGAAGCGGUGAAAUGCGUAGAUAUUGGAAAGAACACCAAAAGCGAAGGCACUUUACUGGGUCAAUACUGACACUGAGAGACGAAAGCUAGGGGAGCAAACGGG
rnacentral:rRNA from 1 species